rnacentral:rRNA from 1 species
CAUACCACUCAGAAUUUGCCCAAUUUCUUCUGAUCUCAGAUGCUAAGCAGAGUCAGGCCAGGGUAGUGCUUCGAUAGUAGAAUUAGAAUCCAGGCC